GCCGGCCUCUCCUCUAAUCCUCCUUCGCUCUCCAUCUUGCUACUAUCUAGAUCUACUCUAGUUUAGAGAAGAGAGGAGAGCUCUCAUCUCUAAACCAUAGCUUUUGCUCUGUCUAUGAAUAAUAAUGAUGAAGGGGUGCCUCCUCCAGGGGCCAGGGGGUCUGGUUAUAUAGUCACCUCAAGUGAACCUGGGCCGUCGGAUCAAACCGACAUUGAUUGAACGGUUAUUCUUGAUCCUUUAGGUCGGUGGAGAUUGGUCCGCAAAGGUGGACGUGUUAGACUACAACUCCUGGGCGGGCGCCCAAGGGGGGUGGGCGGGCGCCCUGCCCCCGGGCCCGUUUGCCUUCCCGUUCGUUCCCGUGGCUUCUGGAGUCUUCUAGAUGACGUAAAAUUGUGCGGCACGUUAAUAUCUCUGUGUAAUCCCGACGUGUGGGCCAUCCUUCCAUAUUUCCUGAUAACCCCCUGCAGAAAUAGACAAACACCAAAACUCGUGGAAUUCUGUCAGAUAAAAGCCUAAGUUUAGAUCGGUUGUAUUUGGAUCGUUUUCUUUAUUUAUUUGAUAAUUAAAUUUGAUACUUAAGGACCGUCAACAAACUCCCCCAAGCUUACCUCUUGCUCGUCCCUGAGCAAGGACAGACUCAGCAAUGGAUCAGAAGUUGUUGCAAUAUCUUAAAAAUUUGACGGUACACAUGCUUUUAAAUAAGAUCUCAUCUCUGAGUUAGAGUAAACUGUCAAGAACUAAAACUUACUUACAUUACCUUUCACCAUAGGACUUGUAACCGUCACUUCUGUCUUGAGUAGUUAAAAGAUAGAACAGUCUAGCCAAGUGCCAUGUCUCUUAUUCUUGAUCAGCUAUAGCUCUGGAGUUUUUGCAGAUUUUCAAAUAAAACUCAGAGAUUCCUUGUAUGACUCUCUAAAUCUCUCUUUUGUGGUAUUUCUGGAUCCUUACCAAGGCAGUGAUGGUAUAUGCCUUCUCUCAAGAUAUGUGGUAUUUGUGGUAUAAAGCAUAGUGACAUUGCCUUCUCUCUCACCCUACUCUAAUAAGGCUUUAAUAUCUGGAGCUCAUAGGUGGGAGACAGCUAAUACAUACUUACAAGACAUUUAUUGUAUAGUCAAACCAUGGAUCCAAAGAAACAAAUCAAUAAGCCAAAUCAAGAUGUGCAUGUGUGGCGAAUGAAUGGUGUAUGGUGAUGAUGGUGAUAACAAUGGUGAAAGUCUAAUUCUACUUUUGCUCUUUUGAGGGGAUACAUACCUUCCUUGCUUUUUGAAACUUUAUGAGGAGAAUGAGAUGCUCUGUCUUUCAUUUUUUUCUUUCCUCUCAGGUGGGUAUCCUGUACCCCUAAUUCUACUGUCGGACACUUGUCCAUUUUUACCUCUCGUCUCACUCUUUUUCUUUUCUUUCGAGGUUUCGGGCACUUGCCCCUUUUUAUUUCCUCGUAUAUUUUUUUCUCUCCUUUUUUUUAGAGCACUCAUCUCUUGAGACAAUAUAGCAAGUGGUAGUAACAAGAUAACUUGAGCAUUUAUUUCACAAGGGAAAAAUAGAAAUAUUUUUGGCUAUUCUCUUCCGGAUUAGGAGUAGAAAAAAAAUUUUCGGGUGGUUUUGGAGAUGGAAAUAGAUGGAUAUAUGUGGAUGGUACUUCCGGAAUAGAAGUAGCAUAUAUGAGUGAACGUGCAAGUGAAUCUUGAUUUAACCACAUGACAAGCUCCUAAGGGUCUACAUAGCUUGACCACACUCAAUGGUCAUAAGCAGUAAAUAAUAAAUGUGUGACUCAAAGUCUAGCAAGCAUGUAUAUAUAUGGUUGUGGUAGGAAUUUAAACUCUCAUCAUACAGGAACUCAUCAUGCAAUAUUUUAAAGAUUUUUCAAAGAUAAAAUUUCUCCAGAAUUCUAGCAUCUCUAGGAACAGAUAAACAGCAGCUCAACCUUCCCAUAUCAUAUCCGUUAACAACUUAGAUUUCAGAUCAAGUUUUCAUCCCACAAGUUUAGAUCUAGAGCAAGCUUUAAAUUAUAACAGUUAUGUCUAAACUUGAGAGAGAACUUCAAAUUUGCAAAUUAGGCAUAGCAACUAUUCAUCGUAUCCAUGCUAGAGUUUUAUUAUUAAGAUUCAGAUUAGCAUAGCCACUUUAUUUAUUAAACACACUAAGCAAAAGAUAUAUAUAUAAGCACAAAAUCUUUAUUUGGUUUUUCAUAGUUUAUGUAUUUUAAUAUUCUAAUAUAAUAUAAGUAUAAAGAUAUGUAGAAAUACUUAGCGAGAUAAAUGGGGGUGCUCUCCCCCAAGCUGAAUUUUGACGUAAUUUCUCUUGAUGUAGCUAGCAGGUGGCAGAGGUGUAUUUGAAAGUCAGCAGCAUUCUGAUAGCGAUUAGAAUGUCCUCCGUCUGCUAGUCUUCUUGAUUCUUAAAUUCUGUGGAGCUCAAAUAGACAACAAAGCUUGUGGAACUAAUUAAGUGUUAGCAUAAAUAUCUAGCCUUCAUCAUGUUGAGCUUCCUCAAUAAAUAUUACUCCCUGUUUUUAUAUUUUUAUUUUAUAAAGCAGAAAAGAAAUAUUUAUUUUAUUUUUAUGCCACCACAGUGAAGGUACUUAUGGGUUUUAUGUCACUCGUAUACACACAUGGGGCUUAGUAUUGUUUAACAUUUUUAUUUUCUUUUCAAGAUAGUAUGAUUAACUAAUAAUCUAUUUAAGGAAAGUAAAUAAUUAAAGGGAAAAGGGAAUGCAGAAAGGAUAAACAUGGAUAACUACCGAUCUUACCUUUCGGCGAGGGUUCAAUGUUUUAAGUCUUCUUAACAAGACUUUUCACCGUGUUCAUUCUUCAGGUGUGUCAUUUGAUUCAGGUGCGGACCUUGACGUCUGCACCUCUUGAUACGAUGUCACCCAUGUUCUUCCUUUGCCUAGCAGUUCGAAGUGCGGCGUUGGCAGUAUCCUGCUCAGUGUGUUU
rnacentral:lncRNA from 1 species